UAGGGAAUCUUCCACAAUGGACGCAAGUCUGAUGGAGCAACGCCGCGUGAGUGAAGAAGGUCUUCGGAUCGUAAACUCUGUUGUUAGAGAAGAACACGAGUGAGAGUAACUGUUCAUUCGAUUGACGGUAUCUAACCAGCAAGUCACGGCUAACUACGUGCCAG
rnacentral:rRNA from 1 species